UACGGGGGGGGCAAGCGUUGUUCGGAAUUACUGGGCGUAAAGGGCUCGUAGGCGGCCAACUAAGUCAUACGUGAAAUCCCUCGGCUUAACCGGGGAACUGCGUCUGAUACUGGAUGGCUUGAGUUCGGGAGAGGGAUGCGGAAUUCCAGGUGUAGCGGUGAAAUGCGUAGAUAUCUGGAGGAACACCGGUGGCGAAGGCGGCAUCCUGGACCGGUAUUGACGCUGAGGCGCGAAAGCGUGGGGAGCAAACAGG
rnacentral:rRNA from 1 species